rnacentral:rRNA from 1 species
GCAGCCUGAUGCAGCAACGCCGCGUGAGGGAUGACGGCCUUCGGGUUGUAAACCUCUUUUAGUAGGGAAGAAGGGCUUCGGCUUGACGGUACCUGCAGAAAAAGCACCGGCUAACUACGUGCCAGCAGCCGCGGUAAUACGUAGGGUGCGAGCGUUGUCCGGAAUUAUUGGGCGUAAAGAGCUCGUAGGCGGUUUGUCACGUCUGCUGUGAAAUCCCGAGGCUCAACCUCGGGCCUGCAGUGGGUACGGGCAGACUGGAGUGCGGUAGGGGAGAAUGGAAUUCCUGGUGUAGCGGUGGAAUGCGCAGAUAUCAGGAGGAACACCGAUGGCGAAGGCAGUUCUCUGGGCCGUAACUGACGCUGAGGAGCGAAAGCGUGGGGAGCGAACAGGAUUAGAUACCCUGGUAGUCCACGCCGUAAACGUUGGGCGCUAGAUGUGGGGACCUUUCCACGGUUUCCGUGUCGUAGCUAACGCAUUAAGCGCCCCGCCUGGGGAGUACGGCCGCAAGGCUAAAACUCAAAGGAAUUGACGGGGGCCCGCACAAGCGGCGGAGCAUGCGGAUUAAUUCGAUGCAACGCGAAGAACCUUACCAAGGCUUGACAUAACCGAGAACGCCGCAGAAAUGUGGAACUCUUU